rnacentral:rRNA from 1 species
GAUGAACGCUGGCGGCGUGCCUAAUACAUGCAAGUCGAGCGAACAGACGAGGAGCUUGCUCCUCUGACGUUAGCGGCGCACGGGUGUGAAACACGUGGAUAACCUACCUAUAUGUCUGGGAAAACUUCGGGACACCGGCGCUUAUCCCGGAUGACAUGCUGCACCGCAGGGGUCAACGGUGAAAUACGGUGUUGGUGUCUCUUAUAGAUGGAUCCGGGCCGGAUGAGCUAGUUGGUAAGGUCACGGGUUACCAAGGCAACCAUGCGUAGCCGACCUGAGGGGGGGAUCGGCCACACGGGAACUGAGACACGGUCCAUGCUCCUGCGAGAGGCAGCAGUAGGGAAUCUUCCGCAGUGGGCGAAAGCCUGACGGAGCAACGCCGCGUGAGUGAAGAAGGUCUUCGGAUCGUAAAACUCUGUUAUUAGGGAAGAACAAAUGUGUAAGUAACUAUGCACGUCGUGACGGUACCUAAUCAGAAAGCCACGGCUAACUACGUG